GCAAAAGACCAAGGAAGUGAGUGGAGAAGAGCAAAAGGCAAUGGAGCCACUUACAUUCACUGGGGCAAGAAAAAUUGCUCAAAAUUUUCUGAAACUGUGAACAAUGGGACAGCGUUUGGAUCCCAUACAUAUGGAGGAGGAGCCGGACUUCUGUGUUUAUCAAUUAAUCAAAGUCUUGAAGCACAAAUGAAGAGCGCAAAAGACUCUGUGAUUUUGCAAGAAAUGUCAUACAAGACACCCGGCAGUGGGAAUUCCCUCAUAUUCUGCGCUUCCUGUCAUCUUCGGUCACGUGGUUCGACUGAGUUGUUCGCAGGAAGAACAGAAUGUCCAGAAGGGUGGGAGUACAUCUACGAAGGACAGCUGAUGAGCGGUUCUCUCAACAGUAACUCGACUGAAUUCGUUUGUUUGGACAGAGAGGCUGAAAAGGACAUCAGGACAUCGCUGGACAAUCCUCUUGUGCCGAAUUUCGCUCUAAUUCGUGACAGCAAUCAAGUUGACAAAGAAAAGCAUGUUUUGGUGUUGUGCGUCGUAUGCGCUAAAUGAUAGCUCAACAAUAUAAACUGAAU